GACGAACGCUGGCGGCGUGCUUAACACAUGCAAGUCGAACGGAAAGGCCCUGCUUUUGUGGGGUGCUCGAGUGGCGAACGGGUGAGUAACACGUGAGUAACCUGCCCUUUACUUUGGGAUAACUUCAGGAAACUUGGGCUAAUACCCGCUAUGAGCUCCUGUUUCCUGGUGGGGGUUUGAAAGUUUCGGCGGUUGGGGAUGGACUCGCGGCUUAUCAGCUUGUUGGUGGGGUAGUGGCUUACCAAGGCUUUGACGGGUAGCCGGCCUGAGAGGGUGACCGGCCACAUUGGGACUGAGAUACGGCCCAGACUCCUACGGGAGGCAGCAGUGGGGAAUAUUGCACAAUGGGCGGAAGCCUGAUGCAGCAACGCCGCGUGCGGGAUGACGGCCUUCGGGUUGUAAACCGCUUUCGCCUGUGACGAAGCGUGAGUGACGGUAAUGGGUAAAGAAGCACCGGCUAACUACGUG
rnacentral:rRNA from 1 species